UGGGGAAUAUUGCACAAUGGGCGCAAGCCUGAUGCAGCCAUGCCGCGUGUAUGAAGAAGGCCUUCGGGUUGUAAAGUACUUUCAGCGAGGAGGAAGGCGUUGCGGUUAAUAACCGCAGCGAUUGACGUUACUCGCAGAAGAAGCACCGGCUAACUCCGUGCCAGCAGCCGCGGUAAUACGGAGGGUGCAAGCGUUAAUCGGAAUUACUGGGCGUAAAGCGCACGCAGGCGGUCUGUCAAGUCGGAUGUGAAAUCCCGGGCUCAACCUGGGAACUGCAUCCGAAACUGGCAGGCUAGAGUCUUGUAGAGGGGGUAGAAUUCCAGGUGUAGCGGUGAAAUUGCGUAGAGAUCUGGAGGAAUACCGGUGGCGAAGGCGGCCCCCUGGACAAAGACUGACGCUCAGGUGCGAAAGCGUGGGAGCAAACA
rnacentral:rRNA from 1 species